GGCUCAGUAGCGGAGGGUCCGUAUCUGCUUCAUAUGCAUGUUUCAGCUUCCUCUUGUGAUUAUGCAGACACUGCCUGUUCAACUCAGGCCUGAGCCA